rfam:Sphaerobolus stellatus SS14 unplaced genomic scaffold SPHSTscaffold_33, whole genome shotgun sequence.
GACGAUGUAGCCAAGUGGUUACGGAGAUUGACUAGAAAUCAAUUUCUCUUCGAGGGCGUAGGUUCAAGUCCUGCCAUCGUCG